rnacentral:SRP_RNA from 1 species
CCCAGGUGAGGUGACGUGAGCCUGUAGUUCCAGCUACUGGGGAGGCUGAAGUGGAAGGAAUGCUUAAGGCCCGUUCUGAGCUGCAGUGCGGAGCCGUAAGUUCAUCAUCAAUAUGAUGACCUCCCAGAAGCAGGGGACCAGGCUGCCUAAGGUGGGGUGAACCAACCCAGGGUGGAAACGGAGGAGGUCAAAACUCUUGUGCUGAUCAGUAGUGGGAUCACACCUGUGAACAGCCACUGCACUCCAGCCUGGGCAAUAUAGCAAGACCCUGUCUCU